AACAAAGCAUCGGCUCAUCACCAUAGUAACCACAACAACAUCGGCAGCACAAACAUCAGCGGGGGGGAAAAAACAGCUGCUGGAAAUAAGACACAAGUUUACGAACGUUCAAGGAAUACUUCAGCUGGAAAAUAAUAUCUCUUUAACCAACCAAAGCCAAAUAGCCAUAAUUUACCCUCCCAUGCCAUUACAACCCAUUAUUAUUAUUUAUUAUUAUUAUUAUUAUGUAUGCAAUAAUUUUAUAUGUAAAACAUCAGACAGCUGACGUUUGUACGUAAAUCGCGUCAAAAUCAAUCAAGUGACACUUCAAUGGCGUUUGACAUCAAUGACGUCCAAUUACAGCGGCGCGCCAUUUUUAAUCUUGACGUAAUAAUAUUUGAGCAACGUCUGAGGAGAAGAUUAUCAGCCAAUAACGACACAAAUUUUCUGUUCCUCACACAAAAACUAUCAUAUAACAUCAGAAUACUUAAAAUAUUAUAGUAUGGACUACUUAUUUGAAGUGUUUGUAAUGGCAUCCACCGUCACUGUAUGGACAAGAUCAAGAUGUAAGGUGACAUAACCUUACUGAAGUUCACUGAAGAAAGGAAAUAAGGUUGGAACGAUAUGAGGGUUUGCCAACCACAGGCCAGUGUCCUCACAUCCACAUUGUCGUCCCUUGAGCUGUCAGAUCUGGGCUGGCUGGUUUAGAAACAGGUCUGGAAGCAUGCAGCUGAAAUCUUCAGGAAUUGUAUGGAAAAGAGCAUCCUUGUUCCAUGGAAAGAAAGUAAGUCAUAUAAGUCUGGAACGAAAUGAGGGUGAGUAAUUUAUUCUUUUAAUUCAUUCUCUCAACCAAUGUUUUGACUGUACAGUACUGCAUCUGCUAUUUCAGUGAAAACAAAGCAACUGAAAUAGACGUGUAUGUGCAUGUCGAAAGCCACUAAAUAGCCAAUUAAAUGCAGAACCUGGGCUUGCAGAGGGUUUUAUUUGAUUUAUCUAUUUUUUUUAUUGCUUAGAGCUGCUGACUAUUCCAAUGACAAAGGGUUUUAAGAAAGCAGCACGAUACAGUAUGUGAUGCUACCACGAAAUGUCAUUGUUUCCAUUCAGCUGAUUUUGACUGAAGCUGGGCUGAUGCUGCGAGGUCAUUAUAUUUUUCCAUGGCUCUAUAAGGCAAGAUUAAUCAUCAUAACAAGUUGUGGUUAACACUUCAGAAGCUGAGCUGCUGUUUUAUUCAAAUUCCUGUUUAAACAAAUAGAUGUGAGAGGGCAGAGGUGGGACGUGCUGUCAGAUGGCAGACGUGCAUGCUCGCAGACACGCACACAUCUAGUGGGUUUGGCUUUCAGGGUGUGUAUGAGUCAGCGAGAGCGUAUUACUUCCCCAGUAAUAGGAAUUAGGUUUAGGUAGAAAGAAAGAGUGUUUGUGAGUGUGUGAUAUAGUGUAAAAGGGAAAGAGAGAGGCAGAGAGAUGCAAACUUUUUUCAAAUUAACGAGAACUGUGGAUACUGAGAGGGACCAGUAAUGGAAGUAAAAAAACAAAAAAACAAACAAAAAUAAUAAUACCAAUAGACUGUGCUUGACCUCCCAGGGCG